rnacentral:rRNA from 1 species
UACGUAGGGGGCAAGCGUUGUCCGGAUUUAUUGGGCGUAAAGAGCGUGUAGGCGGUCUGGUAGGUCCGUUGUGAAAACUCGAGGCUCAACCUCGAGACGCCGAUGGAAACCAUCAGACUAGAAUCCGGAAGAGGCGAGUGGAAUUCCUGGUGUAGCGGUGGAAUGCGCAGAUAUCAGGAGGAACACCAAUAGCGAAGGCAGCUCGCUGGGACGGUAUUGACGCUGAGGCGCGAAAGCGUGGGGAGCAAACAGG